rnacentral:rRNA from 1 species
AUGCAAAUAACGGUAGAACACACUACACGGAGUAAACCGAGGAGGCCUACUAAUCACUUUAUGAAAACAGUAAGCAGAUCUGAGGGCGUAACGAGUGCAGAAGCAAAGAGAUGGGCGCUCACCGAAGACGGUGUUGAUGGGGUUCAUGGCCACCUGGUUCUUGGCGGCGUCGCCGAUGAGGCGCUCCGAGUCGGUGAAGGCGACGUACGACGGCGUGGUGCGGUUGCCCUGGUCAUUGGCGAUGAUCUCGACCCGGUCGUGCUGCCACACGCCGACGCACGAGUAGGUCGUGCCGAGGUCGAUGCCGAUCGCCGGCCCAUCGCCCUUCGCCGCCAUCUCUCGCGCUCAGGGGAGGCUGAGGCUCUCUACUGUGUGUGUUUUUUUCUUCUUCCGGGGUAG